UGUAGCACGAACUUCUGCCGCGCAGCAAACAUUAUCCUGUGUGCAGGAGCCAUAUGCGUGGAACGGGCAGUCGGGAAUUCCGAGAAAAGUAUCACGCGUUCCGCCCAUCAAUGUUUAUCAGAAGUGAAUAUUUGAAGAUCACGAUGAAAUAUCCAGGAGCCAGGAUGGCAGUAUCAGUGUCAAUAGGGCAACUGAAAAGAACAGACCGUCAGUGUCAGUGCUAGUGUCAGUUUCGGUGAUAAUGCAAGGGCUUACUUCGGGAUUAAAGCCUCAAGUUAUAGAAUAUUUGGAGUGCUACGACGAAGCUGUCAGGACAUAGAAUCAGUGUCAGUGAUAGUACAAGGACUAAUUUUAAAGUUAAAGUCCCUAGUGAAUAUUUGAAGUGCAACGAUAAAGCAGCCAAAAAUCAGGAUGGUAAUAUUAGUGUCAGUGAUAGUUUCAGUGAUAGUGUAAACAUCCACUUCAAGAUUAAAACCCUAAAUAAAUAUUUGAAAUGCUACGACAAGCAUCCAGGAUGGCAGUAUCAGUGUCAGUGUCAGUGUCAAUUGAAGGAGCAAUAUUAAGCCUCAAGAAAAUAUAAGAAGUGCCACAAUAAAGCAGCCAGAAGUUAGGAUGGCAAAUUUUGUGUCAGUGAUAGUGUCAGUGUAAGAGUCAAUAAAAGUCAAUAUCAGUGUAAUGCAACAAGUGAAUAAAUGGUGUGUCACAAUACUCGAUCAAGAAGUCAAGAGGAGGAUCUAUAAAAAAGUUGAUUGCUCGAGAACGCGUGAUCGGACGGAAAUACAGUUUGCGCCACAAUGACUUAUUUCAGCACGAGAAUAUUAUUAUGCGUUUCAAAUUUUUUUAUUGCUUACCUGCUGAAAUUCGAGCAAAGUGUGAGUAUUUUAUCUAUGUUUUAUUUAUGACUAAUAUUGAAAAUGUAUACGACUAAUUGUUAGAUAUUUUUAAGUGCAUGCUCUUAAUAUUAUUAGUAAGGCUGAUAUUCAUAUUCUGAUAUUAUAUCUUAGAUCUGACAUGGUUUGUAUGGCCUUCGACGACAAGAUUCUUGGUGUUCGUGUAAAAAGUGCUUGAGCCAACCUAUGUGACUGCCUUUCCAGUACGAAGGGAGAGGACCGUUUUCUUUAGAGAUUCUAAUACUCAAAUUAUAUCAAGUGUGAGUCAAAGCUGCAAAGGACAACAAAGCGAAAUGCAAUGCUGUUAGAGCGAUUGGAACAAUUUUAUAUCUAUGGUCGGACGGCCAUAUACUUUUCGACCCGGCAUUAGGAUUAGAUGCGUUCAUUAAUUGCGCAGGAAAUGACAUGAAAAACUGAUUCUCCAUCCAUGCGCCAGAGAAAGUCUGGUUGCAAUAAAUAAGUAUUCCUUGUUAGAUGAAUCUUAUAUUUAUUUAUGUUAAGUACGAUGGAAUGCUUGCCGAGUUGUAGAAUUAGUUUUGGGUCACAAUCCAGACUCGAUAUUGCCACCUUCUUGAAAUGUUCAAGUAUUUUCAGUGCUCAUUAAUUUGAUAUGUCACAGUAUUAAUUUCAAAGUCCGCACUAACGCCGCAUUGUCCUCAUGUAAUAAUUAUGGCGAAUAUACCAUGACAUUAUGGAGAAGCGUCAUAUCAAUUUUUGAAAUUGUUCAGCACGUUCCGAGCUAUGUAGAAUAUUCGCAUCAAGACGCGCUGAUUGAACGAAAGAAACCGAGUUGCAAGAUCUUUGGAUGGAAAUUAACGAUUAUGUGAAGGAAAUUUCUAAUCUCAUGAAAAAGUACCAGGAAACUGUGCUACCUGAAAAAAUAGGGGAUUUAAUUAAAGCAAGAAUACAAUUGGAGCAACAAUACUCUAGAAGAAUACCCUAAAUGUAAAAAAUUGUCAAAUUGUUCAAUCCUUGGCAUAUAUAUUUGAAAAAACUAAUCGCUAUGACAAUUUAGAUAUGACACCUACAAUAUAAGUUAAUAAAAAUUAAUAAAAAAAAAA